rnacentral:rRNA from 1 species
UACGUAGGUGGCAAGCGUUGUCCGGAUUUACUGGGCGUAAAGAGCGCGCAGGCGGUCGUUCAAGUCGCGUGUGAAAGCCCCCGGCUCAACUGGGGAGGGUCACGCGAUACUGAUCGACUCGAAGGCAGGAGAGGGAAGUGGAAUUCCCGGUGUAGUGGUUAAAUGCGUAGAUAUCGGGAGGAACACCAGUGGCGAAGGCGGCACUCUGGGCCGAUACUGACGCUGAGGAGCGAAAGCGUGGGGAGCGAACAGG